GAUGAAGAACGUAGCGAAAUGCGAUACUUGGUGUGAAUUGCAGAAUCCCGUGAACCAUCGAGUCUUUGAACGCAAGUUGCGCCCGAAGCCACUAGGCCGAGGGCACGCCUGCCUGGGCGUCACACGCCGUUGCCCCCCCAUCUACUCCUUCGGGAUUGCGGGGGGGCGGAUGAUGGCCUCCCGUGCGCCUAGCCGCGCGGUUGGCAUAAAUACCAAGUCCUCGGCGACGCACGCCACGACAAUCGGUGGUUGCGAAACCUCGGUUGCCCGUCGUGUGCGUUCGUCGCGCAUCGAGGGCUCGAAAAAAUGCUCGGCUCCGGCUGGGCUUUCAACGCGACCCCAGGUCAGGCGGGGUUACCCGCUGAAUUUAAGCCUAUCAAUAAGCGGAGGA
rnacentral:misc_RNA from 1 species